rnacentral:rRNA from 1 species
UGGGGAAUAUUGCACAAUGGGCGCAAGCCUGAUGCAGCCAUGCCGCGUGUGUGAAGAAGGCCUUCGGGUUGUAAAGCACUUUCAGCGGGGAGGAAGGCGAUAAGGUUAAUAACCUUGUCGAUUGACGUUACCCGCAGAAGAAGCACCGGCUAACUCCGUGCCAGCAGCCGCGGUAAUACGGAGGGUGCAAGCGUUAAUCGGAAUUACUGGGCGUAAAGCGCACGCAGGCGGUCGGUCAAGUCGGAUGUGAAAUCCCCGGGCUCAACCUGGGAACUGCAUUCGAAACUGGCAGGCUAGAGUCUUGUAGAGGGGGGUAGAAUUCCAGGUGUAGCGGUGAAAUGCGUAGAGAUCUGGAGGAAUACCGGUGGCGAAGGCGGCCCCCUGGACAAAGACUGACGCUCAGGUGCGAAAGCGUGGGGAGCAAACAGG